GUCAAUGCAUUUUGAAGCAGAUGGAGCAGUAAUUCAUGAAAAAUAGUGUUUAGGAAAGAAAAGGGAAAAAGGGGGAACACCACAGCUGCCAGAUCCCAGACUUGACACCCCUCCUCUGUGCAUUUCCUGAUUCUUCCUCCAUCUAAUGGAUCAAAUAUUUGAAAUGAUUUGGAAUCUGAAGUGUGGACGUGCAGAACUUUUUGGGACAGAUGUGUUAGUGACAGGAUGAAGCUGUGAGGGACAAACGAUGGGUGCAGCACUCUCUGUCUUCGUGGGAAGGCUGGGUGGGACAGGCACCUCAAGGAGCAGUUUUAAGGAAGCUCUGCAGAACCAUGUCCUGAGAGUACAGAGCACCUGCAGACACCACCAGCUGUGCUUCUCCUGGCUUUGGCAGGGAACUGCUCCUGGAUUCCACAGGCACCUCAUAGAGCCAAGACAUUGUAAAGGACCCAGGCACUUCCCAUUAAAAUCAUGGAUGCUCCCAGAUUUUCCUGGAGAAUUAAAGGCUUCCAGCAGCACAGGAGUGAUGAAUGUCUGUUUGUGAGAGCCCCAUUUCCAGGAGGUCUGUGCUGCAGGAACACUAACACCCAUACUUGGGUAGAAAAAGGAUGCCCAUGCCAUGUCCUUUGAUCCUUCUUCACUGUUUCUCCUCAUUUCUGGUUAUAUUCUUCUCUAAAGAUAAUUCCAGUUGUUGUUGGAUUGGUUUUAUUUGCCCCAAAGUACUUAAGUCAAUAUCCAGUUGACUGGCAGUGUUAUCUUAUUUUCUUUAAGAACUUCUCAUGUUGUCACCUCAAUUGUUAGGACUUCACCUUCCUCCUCUGGUGGCUGCAAAGCCCUGCUGGAUGGGGAUAUUCACCCAAAAAUCAGGCUCUGAGGGAGAAGGGAAGGCAUUUCAUCAUCCACCAUUUAAUAAUUUUGGUACCAAUACAAAUGUGACUGCAUGAAACACUUCAAAUCCCAGUGCCCUGAUCUUGCAGGGGCUGCUGCCUCAUGCUGGAUUUCACACCUGGAAAAGCUUCUGGAGAUUUUUAUUUGUCUCCAGAUAAAAAUCUGCGUUGCUGUCCAAUGUGUAAGUACAAGAGCACUGUCAUGGACAGGCAGUGUGUGUUGUGAUACAUGGCUGUGGGGUGGUGGGAGCAGUUCCUUUUCCAGCUCUCUGUGAUCCCUGGGAGCAGGGAUGUUUUCCAUGCUCCAUGUGCUCCUGGGCCCAGGCAGUGCCAGA
rnacentral:lncRNA from 1 species